ensembl:lncRNA
CGUCCCGGCCCGCGCCCCCUCCCCCCUGGCGCCCCUGCUCCCCUCCAGCCCCGCCCACUUGCCCCCUCCCCCCCAUCCAUCCACUCCCUGGCCCACCCCCGCGGCCUGGCUCUCGCCUAACCUCGCCCCCUAUGUCCCCGCGCCCUGCCCGCCGCCCCCGGCUCGCUUCCAGCCUCUGUCGGGACUUCCCCUCACCUGCCCGCGCUCCUCGAGGGACGGAGCCCUGUUCCGGCGGUCCCACUCCGGGGAAGGGGGGGCUUGUCGACCAACCCCCCAAGCUGCUCGUAAUUGACGAGAGGGGCCCACUUCCCGUGCGACCAGAGGAGGCCGGCUGGUGCUGGGGGUGGAGGUACAGAGGCUCCCGCUCUGGCCGGUCAAGACCUCGGAGAGAAGGUCGGGCAGUGCUGGCGACCCUGUCCACAGUCACUGUCCCCGGAGAUCAGAACCUCACCGGCGGGGUGCGGGCUGACCAACGGGGAGGAGGCCGGGCUCUGGCCACAGGACCCCCAGCUCUCCCCGAGGGCGGAAUCCAGACCGCCUCCCGUUAAGUAUAACCGGCCGCCGCGAGGGCUGGGACGUCCAGACCCCGGCGACUCGCUCAUUCCCUGCAGGGCGCGCUGGCCUUCGCUGUAAAUGGCAGUGUCCAGCCGUCCCAACAACAGCCGAGAAGAGCCAGGUCCACUUUGGGAACUUCAAAAUGCGAACAAAAGUGUCUUUCCGCCUGACCGUGAACACAAGAGUGAUUUUCAAUGGAAAUGUUAGGAAAGUAGAGAAAAGGAUUACAUCUUGGCAACUGUCCAUCAACUCUGAGGUAAAAAUAAACACGACUCACACCUCAGAGAGGGAGAGAAAAGAGAGAAACAGGCUCUGUCCCUUCUCGGAGGAAUAAAAAUGACAGACGAUCAUAACCGCAUUAGAGACUGAAGAGGUGAGGAAGUAAGGACUGAUUUGCAGACACAACCCCACCGCAGAUUAAAAACCAAUGCAGUGUAUACGGAGUGGAUAACUUUGAUGUCCACCGAGUCUUGGUUUUAAUUGUGGAAGAGAUUUAAGUGUUCUAAAUACAUUCAAUAGGAUCAUAGUUAUAAACUCUUCGGAGCACUUCAGACAUCCGACAUGAAAGAGCUCUGCAUUUUGGGGGCUUUUUCCCCUUUAAUCUACCACCCCAAUGAGCCCACCCCAAGUCUCUGAUGGACCCUUACAACUGGGUGAGACUGACAUGCAGCAGCCCCAGCACAGGCAGUGUGAUUUGAGGGCAUGCCGAAGGCUUUCCACCACACCAACGGCCCAGAAUUUUCCACCUCAUCACUGUGCCUCCUUCCAGUAAUUACCUAGUCACAUUUCCAGAUUUCAGGUGUCAUGUUGCUGUCUGACCUGCAGUACCCAGCAGAAACCGCUGAAAUUAGGUGAUAGAAGAUUUGGUUAUGUGAUGAUGCAAAGAGAGGAGAAAGAAUUCCAGAGCAUCAGGACACUGAAAUCAUGUUAAAGCACAUAGUUGAGAGGAGUGUGGAUGACAAGAAGGGAGGAGAGUUACGGCCAGCUAGAUAGCAGCACAAGGCUUCCGGUGCCAGGAGAAGAGACAGCUUGGAUAAUGCCAGCCCCACAAUUUUAAAGGCCAGCUCUGUGUUCUGGUAUAUACUCAGUGGAGUGAACAUGUUGAAAUAGUCCCCUUUAUAUCAACAAAUAACACCCCAGUGUAAAUAGAAAUUUCUACAGAAUUUCUGUGGCACUGAUUAAGACUAUCUGUAUAAAUCUGAAACAUAAUUGUGCAAGAGCCCACCAAAUAUUUUGACAGCCAUGGGCAAUGUCAGCCAGUGCCUGCUUAUUCAAAGGCUAAUAGUAGGUACGUUUUAAGAUUCAUGCUUAUAGCAGGAAUGAAGUAAUAGAUAAUUUCUGGAAAAAAAAUAUAUUUGCCUUAUUUCAGGUCUUAAACAUCAAUCUUCUGACGUCAAACCAGCAUGAGGCCCAGCCACCUCCUGUGCAGCUAAAUCAGUCUUGUUGUUCUUUUCUCUUUGUUUGGUUUGGUUUUGUUGUUCCUGGGCUCUUGGAACUCAAAAAGCACAGACUUCUAAUCCAGUGCUCUAUUCAUUAACCCACACCUCUUCUUAGACUUCGUAGGUCAAGGUGGGGAACCUGGGCCUCGGAGCACAGACCUCAAAGUUGCCGACGUCAGAUGACACUCGGUGGACCUCGAUCUCGCUCUCCCAGUCUUCAGCCAGAAGCGCACUGUGAACUCAUUGUGAACUUGCAAGGACUCACCAAGAAGCAUUCUCAUCUCCCUCCGUCCUGUCCUUCCGCUAAUCCAGCCACUUCUUCAUCCUCAGCUCUAAUCGCUACCCACUUGGCAUGUGCUUUCUGGAAUGUCGAAGUCUUUUUGUGUUUUUUUAGUAUUUCUAAAAGUUUAAUAACUUAGAUUGUUGAUAGAAUAGAAAGAACCUGAAAAACACAUUGAAAGUCCGAUUGAGCUUUCUUUUCAAAGCUUAUGACCUUAAAUUCUGCUAAGCUUAAAGUUUAUCUUCUUGUCCACAGUAGCCAUUUUUCACUUGUUGCAGGACCUAAAAUUAGAAUACUUUGAGAGUGAUUGUGCAAUGUAUUUGGCCUAAAUUUUAGCAAAUGUAUUUAUUUCAAGAUGUAAUUUCUUGUGUUUCUAUCAUUUCUAAAAUAAGUUGUAAAUUAAAAAGUGCACAAAGCCUUUUGAAGAUCUCUGUAUGCAACUGUGUAUGCACACAAAUGGGACUAAGAACUUAGCAUGUAAUCCUAGAUUCUUUUUUUUUUUAAAGAUUGGCACCUGAGCUAAAAACUGUUGCCAAUCUUCGUUUUUUUUCCUGCUUUUUCUCCCCAAAUCCCCCCAGUACAUAGUUGCAUAUUUUAGUUGUGGGUCCUUCUAG